UUAAGCGACUAAGCGUACACGGUGGAUGCCCUGGCAGUCAGAGGCGAUGAAGGACGUGCUAAUCUGCGAUAAGCGUCGGUAAGGUGAUAUGAACCGUUAUAACCGGCGAUUUCCGAAUGGGGAAACCCAGUGUGUUUCGACACACUAUCAUUAACUGAAUCCAUAGGUUAAUGAGGCGAACCGGGGGAACUGAAACAUCUAAGUACCCCGAGGAAAAGAAAUCAACCGAGAUUCCCCCAGUAGCGGCGAGCGAACGGGGAGCAGCCCAGAGCCUGAAUCAGUGUGUGUGUUAGUGGAAGCGUCUGGAAAGGCGCGCGAUACAGGGUGACAGCCCCGUACACAAAAAUGCACAUGCUGUGAGCUCGAUGAGUAGGGCGGGACACGUGGUAUCCUGUCUGAAUAUGGGGGGACCAUCCUCCAAGGCUAAAUACUCCUGACUGACCGAUAGUGAACCAGUACCGUGAGGGAAAGGCGAAAAGAACCCCGGCGAGGGGAGUGAAAAAGAACCUGAAACCGUGUACGUACAAGCAGUGGGAGCACGCUUCGGCGUGUGACUGCGUACCUUUUGUAUAAUGGGUCAGCGACUUAUAUUCUGUAGCAAGGUUAACCGAAUAGGGGAGCCGAAGGGAAACCGAGUCUUAACUGGGCGUUAAGUUGCAGGGUAUAGACCCGAAACCCGGUGAUCUAGCCAUGGGCAGGUUGAAGGUUGGGUAACACUAACUGGAGGACCGAACCGACUAAUGUUGAAAAAUUAGCGGAUGACUUGUGGCUGGGGGUGAAAGGCCAAUCAAACCGGGAGAUAGCUGGUUCUCCCCGAAAGCUAUUUAGGUAGCGCCUCGUGAAUUCAUCUCCGGGGGUAGAGCACUGUUUCGGCAAGGGGGUCAUCCCGACUUACCAACCCGAUGCAAACUGCGAAUACCGGAGAAUGUUAUCACGGGAGACACACGGCGGGUGCUAACGUCCGUCGUGAAGAGGGAAACAACCCAGACCGCCAGCUAAGGUCCCAAAGUCAUGGUUAAGUGGGAAACGAUGUGGGAAGGCCCAGACAGCCAGGAUGUUGGCUUAGAAGCAGCCAUCAUUUAAAGAAAGCGUAAUAGCUCACUGGUCGAGUCGGCCUGCGCGGAAGAUGUAACGGGGCUAAACCAUGCACCGAAGCUGCGGCAGCGACGCUGAUGCGUUGUUGGGUAGGGGAGCGUUCUGUAAGCCUGUGAAGGUGUACUGUGAGGUAUGCUGGAGGUAUCAGAAGUGCGAAUGCUGACAUAAGUAACGAUAAAGCGGGUGAAAAGCCCGCUCGCCGGAAGACCAAGGGUUCCUGUCCAACGUUAAUCGGGGCAGGGUGAGUCGACCCCUAAGGCGAGGCCGAAAGGCGUAGUCGAUGGGAAACAGGUUAAUAUUCCUGUACUUGGUGUUACUGCGAAGGGGGGACGGAGAAGGCUAUGUUGGCCGGGCGACGGUUGUCCCGGUUUAAGCGUGUAGGCUGGUUUUCCAGGCAAAUCCGGAAAAUCAAGGCUGAGGCGUGAUGACGAGGCACUACGGUGCUGAAGCAACAAAUGCCCUGCUUCCAGGAAAAGCCUCUAAGCAUCAGGUAACAUCAAAUCGUACCCCAAACCGACACAGGUGGUCAGGUAGAGAAUACCAAGGCGCUUGAGAGAACUCGGGUGAAGGAACUAGGCAAAAUGGUGCCGUAACUUCGGGAGAAGGCACGCUGAUAUGUAGGUGAAGUCCCUCGCGGAUGGAGCUGAAAUCAGUCGAAGAUACCAGCUGGCUGCAACUGUUUAUUAAAAACACAGCACUGUGCAAACACGAAAGUGGACGUAUACGGUGUGACGCCUGCCCGGUGCCGGAAGGUUAAUUGAUGGGGUUAGCGCAAGCGAAGCUCUUGAUCGAAGCCCCGGUAAACGGCGGCCGUAACUAUAACGGUCCUAAGGUAGCGAAAUUCCUUGUCGGGUAAGUUCCGACCUGCACGAAUGGCGUAAUGAUGGCCAGGCUGUCUCCACCCGAGACUCAGUGAAAUUGAACUCGCUGUGAAGAUGCAGUGUACCCGCGGCAAGACGGAAAGACCCCGUGAACCUUUACUAUAGCUUGACACUGAACAUUGAGCCUUGAUGUGUAGGAUAGGUGGGAGGCUUUGAAGUGUGGACGCCAGUCUGCAUGGAGCCGACCUUGAAAUACCACCCUUUAAUGUUUGAUGUUCUAACGUUGACCCGUAAUCCGGGUUGCGGACAGUGUCUGGUGGGUAGUUUGACUGGGGCGGUCUCCUCCUAAAGAGUAACGGAGGAGCACGAAGGUUGGCUAAUCCUGGUCGGACAUCAGGAGGUUAGUGCAAUGGCAUAAGCCAGCUUGACUGCGAGCGUGACGGCGCGAGCAGGUGCGAAAGCAGGUCAUAGUGAUCCGGUGGUUCUGAAUGGAAGGGCCAUCGCUCAACGGAUAAAAGGUACUCCGGGGAUAACAGGCUGAUACCGCCCAAGAGUUCAUAUCGACGGCGGUGUUUGGCACCUCGAUGUCGGCUCAUCACAUCCUGGGGCUGAAGUAGGUCCCAAGGGUAUGGCUGUUCGCCAUUUAAAGUGGUACGCGAGCUGGGUUUAGAACGUCGUGAGACAGUUCGGUCCCUAUCUGCCGUGGGCGCUGGAGAACUGAGGGGGGCUGCUCCUAGUACGAGAGGACCGGAGUGGACGCAUCACUGGUGUUCGGGUUGUCAUGCCAAUGGCACUGCCCGGUAGCUAAAUGCGGAAGAGAUAAGUGCUGAAAGCAUCUAAGCACGAAACUUGCCCCGAGAUGAGUUCUCCCUGACUCCUUGAGAGUCCUGAAGGAACGUUGAAGACGACGACGUUGAUAGGCCGGGUGUGUAAGCGCAGCGAUGCGUUGAGCUAACCGGUACUAAUGAACCGUGAGGCUUAACCUU
rnacentral:rRNA from 1 species